AUACAGAGGGUGCGAGCGUUAAUCGGAAUUACUGGGCGUAAAGCGCGCGUAGGCGGCUUGGUCAAUCGGAUGUGAAAGCCCCGGGCUCAACCUGGGAAUGGCAUUCGAUACUGCCAGGCUAGAGUAUGGGAGAGGGAAGUGGAAUUUCCGGUGUAGCGGUGAAAUGCGUAGAUAUCGGAAGGAACACCAGUGGCGAAGGCGACUUCCUGGCCCAAUACUGACGCUGAGGUGCGAAAGCGUGGGGAGCGAACAGGAUUAGAAACCCUAGUAGUCC
rnacentral:rRNA from 1 species